ensembl:lncRNA
AUUAUCCUUUUAAUCACCACUAUAUCACGGAUUACUUUCCACAAUAAUUAGUUAAUGCAACAAAACACACCUUUCAGCUUUUCAUGUCUUUUGAAGCGGGGUUUUUGGAGACCUGGAAUGGAAGUUUUUCUGUCUCUAAAGCACACAAAAAGGUUUGGACUUUCUUCAUAGUGCAUAUUUGAGGUUUAUUUUUUCCAAGGAAAUAAUUAACACAGUUCACCGGGCUACAUACUGAAUUCGAAGGAUACAAGCAAAGUAUCGAUCCAAUCCUGUUAGUAUCGAUCCGAUACCAAUACUAGUGUUGGUAUCGACACUAUCGAUAUUUGGAUCGAUCCAUUCCGCCCACCUCUACCAGCGGGGGGCCUCUUCUCAAGAUGGCGGCCUGUCCUUGGUGGAAGAAGGAGUGCGAUACAUUUUUAUGACAACCGGGGUUUAAAGAAGAAACCGAGGUCAAAAAGUAGACUAAAAGGAAUUGUUCCACUAUGGUAAUUUGCGGAACCUCCAAGAAAAUCUAUGAAAAGAAAAGGACCGUCAAAGUCAAGAAUAAUAACGCUAAUUGGCUAGCUAACUAGCCGCUAACUAGCCACCAGUCAUACAUGCAGGGGGGCAGGGACGCCAUGGCUCCUCACCAGCUGGCUGUCAGCCUCCAGUCGGCGCCCUCCAUGAUCUCCCAGAAAGUGCAGUUAACUUACCAGCUGUUCUUGCUGGAAAAUGCCCGGAAUAAACUUGAACAAGACCUUCGCAACUUCACCAUCAAGGCCUAUAAAGAUGUCCAAGGUUACCUGAAUUCAUCUUGUCCCAGGAGCUUGUUCAGUGAUCUCUCAAAAGCUUUAGAUGUGAAAUGUCAAACAGUCGCAAAGGUUUCAGCUUUAUUAAAGGACCUCACAGCUGACCCGCAGGUUUGUCUCCUUCCUAAAGUUAAAAAUGGAGUCAGCGGAAAUCGGAUGCAGCAGCUUGGCGUCAAAGAGAUUCAGAUUACAGAUGUUUUUAAGUUUGGGCCCAUGUUAAAGAACUCACUGAUGGCGAGCUCAAUAGCAAAAGCAAUCCAGGUACUGGGAGCCACGGUGUCUCUUCAGCAGCUACAACGCUUCCUCACCUCAAAGCCUGCAGCAGACUAUCAGGACGACAUGAUAUGCAGGCGUUCUUCGAGCCUCACCAGCACUGUUUUGGCUUCCAGUUGUGAUUUUAAGGUUGAAGAAAAGCAGGUUGAUUUUGAGGAGAAGAGCCAAGCGGAUGCUGGGAUUUUUCCACCUGUCACUGAUGAGAGCCAUGACAGAAGGGCAGAGAGGCCUCAAAUACUUUUACCUCCCUUAAAAGCUGUUUUCCCCGAGCUCAGUAACCCAAAACCCAUGAACACCACACCACUAUUACACUGGAGAUGUGAAGAUGAUGUCAAGGUGCAAUACCAAAAACAAACAUCCUCCCAGCUGCUGCACUUCCUCAGAGCAAAAGUUAAAAACAUGGGUUCACUGGAGGUCACGGACAUGGAGUGGGCUAAACGUCCAUACACUUCAGAUUUACAGCAGCCUGUGUCACCUACCAUUACAACACAAAGAGACCAGUUCAGUCACGUUGUCACCGAUCUGGUAGAAGUUCUUGCUCCAAAACCUUUGAAUGCAAAGUUUGAAACCCAAGACCCAGUCUUCAGAGUGAAAAAAGCAGAGUCAAGUGGCUCUCUCAUCUAUAGUUGCGUGAUUGCAACACAAACUGAACUCUGGGAUAUUGGAGACAUCUUCGCAGAGGUAGUGGAGAGGGGCUCUGAUCCUGGCCCCUUGGGAAGUGAAGACUGCCAAAAUAUAACUACUCUGCCAGAGAUCGUGGGUGUGAAUAUCCACUGGAAACCCAGAAGUCCCAAGUGCACAGACCCUGAACAUGAUAACGGUUCUGAUGGUGCGAAAAUGGCAACAACCAGCAGUUUAAAGAUUCCCGAUUUCCAGAUUCGAAGAUUUGAAGAGACUGAGGUUGUGGUGUCUCACACUGUGAGUCCGAGCAACUUCUACAUCCAGCAGGCAGACUCCCAUGAGAAGCUACAGGCCUUUGCCACAGACUGGAAAGCCAGUAAUUCAUAUGCUGAGCAGAACUGCAUUCCAGAUAUUGGAACCGUAGUAAUGGGUUGGUUCGCCGAGCGAGAACAAUGGUGCAGGAGCCAGGUGAUAAAGAUAUGUGGAGUGAGCAGAGGUGGGUUCUGUCGUUGUAUUGAAAUGUUUUUGCAGAUGUAUGCCUCUAGAUGGUAGCAGUGUCACUUUGUUUUGCUGGUAGCCACUUGGGAAUGUCACACUGGAUUUUUUGUCUUGCUUUGUAUACUCUCUGUCUUUUGGAUGUAAGAUGGUGCUGGGACAGAGACAUCCAUCAAGGUGGAAGUGAAAAGGUUGGACUAUGGUGACACUGCCUGUCUGUCACUGUCAAAUAUAAAGGAGCUGACCCCUGAAAUGGCUACUGUACCACUUCAGGCUGUGCAGGUUUCACUGGCUAAUGUGAUGCCUGUGAAUGGGAGAGAUUGGUCUGAAGAGGCAGUCGGCUGGUUCAAAGCGACUGUGCACAACAGGACCCUCUAUGCUAGGCUGUACCAACAGGAAGGCAAAGUUACAGUCGAGCUGUUCAUGGAGAAGGGAAAGCUCGGAGCCAUGAGGAGGGGUGCUUCAAUGUCUUUGAGACUGGCCCAAAAUGGACACGCCAUCCACAGCAAACUUAAGAAGACUAGUCUCAUUAAAAGAAACAGUGUUCAGCUUAAAGCCCAGAAACAGGACUCUGACUGGGAGAAGUAUCUCAUAUCAUGCUACACUCAAAGGAAGUAGUUCAGGUGUGUGUGUGUGUGUGCGUGUGUGCGUGCGUGUGUGUGUGUGUGCGUGCAUGUGUGUGUGUGUGUGUGUGAGAGAUUAUGUUGGUAUCCUUUUAUCCUAUUUGAAUGAUUGCACAACCAGUACUAAAGUUAAAAUGCAAGCUUACUGUACCAUGCAGCUCGAACAUAUAGUGUAUACCAACAUUGUUUAUAGUGUAAAACCUAAACGAGUAAAAUGUUUGAAUGAGGAACAAAAAUAUUCCGUUUAGACUGACCAUCUGUGUGCAACAUACAGUGGACUGAGUUGUCGCCAACUUGAAAGGCUAUACAAAGUUGAAAGGUAUUUGGGGAAAAAAUUAAAUGUAGAUUUAUAAAGGAUUGACUGGACUAGUACACAUUAAGUCGUGUGUGUGUGUGUGUGUGUAUAUAUAAGCUAUUUUGUGUAUUUUUAGUUCAUACAGUUAGAGCUGGAAAACUGUUUCAACUAAGCAUACAUUUAUGUUCUCUCUAAGAUGACUAAACGGGAAAUUUCUUUCAUCUUUUGUAUCUCAAGCUUUUCUUCUUUAUGUAAAGGGAAAGGAUACAAAACUAGUUUUGCUUGUUUUAUUUUGACUAUGUAAUUUGAAGAUAUUGGUUAACCUGUUCCCUUUCCUAGGUUUAAAAACAGAACUGUAUUUCAAGUCCUGAUUAUUUUUAGCCACUAGACGGUGCCAGCUCAGUCUGAUUACCCGCUCUCUAUUAAGUUGUAUUCCUAUCUAUAUUAUUACCUUAUCUGCAUGCUACAACAGGUCUUUUUUGGUUUUGUUUUUUAAAUGUAUAAUUUUUCUUUGAUAAUCAUCACUGAAAAGCUUUACUGACUUGAUUAUAUUGUUCUUAUGCAAUGGCAAACUUAUCUUUAUUUUUGCAUAUUUGCCUUUGAAAUAAAAAUGUGUUCUCUACAAUUGUACAUUUGUGUUUCUUCCUUGUGUAGAGAAAAUGUAAAUGAGGUGCAGUUCAUUCAGAUUAUUAGCAGGCCACCCAAACCCUCCCACUACACUGUCAGAAGUGACGGUACGGCC